GAUGAAGAACGCAGCAAAAUGCGAUAAGUAAUGUGAAUUGCAGAAUUCAGUGAAUCAUCGAAUCUUUGAACGCACAUUGCGCCCGCCAGUAUUCUGGCGGGCAUGCCUGUUCGAGCGUCAUUUCAACCCUCAAGCCCUCGGGUUUGGUGUUGGGGAUCGGCGAGCCUUUCUGGCAAGCCGGCCCCGAAAUCUAGUGGCGGUCUCGCUGCAGCCUCCAUUGCGUAGUAGUAAAACCCUCGCAACUGGAACGCGGCGCGGCCAAGCCGUUAAACCCCCAACUUCUGAAUGUUGACCUCGGAUCAGGAAGGAAUACCCGCUGAACUUAAGCAUAUCAAUAAGCGGAGGA
rnacentral:misc_RNA from 1 species